rnacentral:rRNA from 1 species
AGAGUUUGAUCCUGGCUCAGGACGAACGCUGGCGGCGUGCUUAACACAUGCAAGUCGAACGAUGAAGCCUUCGGGUGGAUUAGUGGCGAACGGGUGAGUAACACGUGGGAAAUCUGCCCUGCACUCUGGGACAAGCCUUGGAAACGAGGUCUAAUACCGGAUAUGACCUUCCUCCGCAUGGGGGUUGGUGGAAAGCUCCGGCGGUGCAGGAUGAUCCCGCGGCCUAUCAGCUUGUUGGUGGGGUAACGGCCCACCAAGGCGACGACGGGUAGCCGGCCUGAGAGGGCGACCGGCCACACUGGGACUGAGACACGGCCCAGACUCCUACGGGAGGCAGCAGUGGGGAAUAUUGCACAAUGGGCGAAAGCCUGAUGCAGCGACGCCGCGUGAGGGAUGACGGCCUUCGGGUUGUAAACCUCUUUCAGCAGGGAAGAAGCGCAAGUGACGGUACCUGCAGAAGAAGCACCGGCUAACUACGUGCCAGCAGCCGCGGUAAUACGUAGGGUGCGAGCGUUGUCCGGAAUUAUUGGGCGUAAAGAGCUCGUAGGCGGCCUGUCGCGUCGGAUGUGAAAGCCCGGGGCUUAACCCCGGGUCUGCAUUCGAUACGGGCAGGCUAGAGUGUGGUAGGGGAGAUCGGAAUUCCUGGUGUAGCGGUGAAAUGCGCAGAUAUCAGGAGGAACACCGGUGGCGAAGGCGGAUCUCUGGGCCAUUACUGACGCUGAGGAGCGAAAGCGUGAGGAGCGAACAGGAUUAGAUACCCUGGUAGUCCACGCCGUAAACGUUGGGAACUAGGUGUUGGCGACAUUCCACGUCGUCGGUGCCGCAGCUAACGCAUUAAGUUCCCCGCCUGGGGAGUACGGCCGCAAGGCUAAAACUCAAAGGAAUUGACGG